CAUGCGAGUUCUGUUAUUUGACACCUCUAUCGCCAAAUUGCUGCUAAAACAACUAACAUUACAAGGAGAAGCAAAAACACCUACCACAAUGCAGUAGGCAUGUAGCGAGUGCAUUACUUCUACGCAAACGAAGGUGGACAAAAACAACGGACGCAUUCUCCAUAUUCACACUGCACCACAAACAACUUACAACAAACACAACAGCAUCGCCGCUGUCGUGGAGUUUCUCUACGAACUCACUUAACAUGUGCUCAGCGUCAGUCAAAUGGAAAUCUUCAAUCGCGUUCGGUCAAUGGUCAAAUUGUCAAUAAUGAGCUCGUGUUGUCAACGCGUACGAAAUUAAUAGUAAAAGUGCUUUUUAAAUUAUUUUAUUUGAUUUAAAAUCUUGAGUCGGAAUUGUGCAAAUUAAAUGAAAAGUUUAAUUAAGUGUGAAAAGUUGUAAGUAUUCUAGUAAAAGCAAAAAAAUGUGUGUGAAGUGAAAUAAAAUAGUGUGCAUAGGUAAUGUGGUUUUCUGUGAUAUGUGUUUAUGCUUGUUAAUGGUGUUAAUAACGAAGGGAGUGCAAAUCAAAUAUUCUAUAUCAUUUAUAAAUCGUGAUGUAGUGAAUUAGUGAAAUAAUUUCUUUUUAAAAAUAUUUCUUAAAAUGUGAAGUCGCUGCGUUCGUUUUUUCGGUGUUCGUCUAUAGUCGUUUUCUAAUAAACCAACAACGUCGUUCGCACAAACAAACAAAUAAUAUCGGUGCAGCAGAGUAAUAAAUUUUUUGCUGUAAAACGUAAAGGCUUGGCGAAUUUCGCUCGAAAGGAGAGAAAUCGUUUACAUAAGGAAUUUUACUAAGAUGAGGAUGUUGAUAUGGACGGCCUUUGGUUUCAAGAAGACCACGGUACAUGCCAUGCAGUCAAUUAAAUUAUUGAGAGAAGCUUUUGGUGGGCACAUUAUCUCGUGUCGUGGACCUGUGGAGAUAUGUGACGUCGUGGAGAUUCAUCACGUUAUUGCUGAUAUACGGACCCGAUUGCUGCAAAAAGUGGUCGAAAAUUAGGCCUGUCGACUAAAAUUUGAGACAUCCGCGGAAAACAAUUUCCCAAAAACAUUUUUAAAACCUAAUGGCGAGCAUUAAUCUAGCUUUAUAAUAUAAAGAAAUCGUUUUAAAAAAUCGUUUUUGAAAAUCACAUGUCUCAAAACACACUCUUAUAAGAAAAAUCUAUAAUAAC